rnacentral:rRNA from 1 species
UACGGAGGGGGCUAGCGUUGUUCGGAAUUACUGGGCGUAAAGCGCGCGUAGGCGGAUCUGCAAGUCGGGGGUGAAAUCCCGAGGCUCAACCUCGGAACUGCCUUCGAUACUGCGGGUCCCGAGUCCGGGAGAGGUGAGUGGAAUUCCUAGUGUAGAGGUGAAAUUCGUAGAUAUUAGGAAGAACACCAGUGGCGAAGGCAGCUCUCUGGGACGGUACUGACGCUGAGACGCGAAAGCGUGGGGAGCGAACAGG